rnacentral:rRNA from 1 species
GUAAUAAUCCUGUAGUCGAAAAUGUUGUCUCUCUUGAGUGGAUCCUGAGUACGACGGAGCACGUGAAAUUCCGUCGGAAUCUGGGAGGACCAUCUCCUAAGGCUAAAUACUCUCUAGUGACCGAUAGUGAACCAGUACCGUGAGGGAAAGGUGAAAAGCACCCCGGAAGGGGAGUGAAAUAGAACCUGAAACCGUGUGCUUACAAGUAGUCAGAGCCCGUUAAUGGGUGAUGGCGUGCCUUUUGUAGAAUGAACCGGCGAGUUACGAUUUGAUGCAAGGUUAAGCAGUAAAUGUGGAGCCGUAGCGAAAGCGAGUCUGAAUAGGGCGUUUAGUAUUUGGUCGUAGACCCGAAACCAGGUGAUCUACCCUUGGUCAGGUUGAAGUUCAGGUAACACUGAAUGGAGGACCGAACCGACUUACGUUGAAAAGUGAGCGGAUGAACUGAGGGUAGCGGAGAAAUUCCAAUCGAACCUGGAGAUAGCUGGUUCUCUCCGAAAUAGCUUUAGGGCUAGCCUCAAGUGAUGAUUAUUGGAGGUAGAGCACUGUUUGGACGAGGGGCCCCUCUCGGGUUACCGAAUUCAGACAAACUCCGAAUGCCAAUUAAUUUAACUUGGGAGUCAGAACAUGGGUGAUAAGGUCCGUGUUCGAAAGGGAAACAGCCCAGACCACCAGCUAAGGUCCCAAAAUAUAUGUUAAGUGGAAAAGGAUGUGGCGUUGCCCAGACAACUAGGAUGUUGGCUUAGAAGCAGCCAUCAUUUAAAGAGUGCGUAAUAGCUCACUAGUCGAGU